UACGUAGGGGGCUAGCGUUGUCCGGAAUCAUUGGGCGUAAAGAGCGUGUAGGCGGCCCGGUAAGUCCGCUGUGAAAGUCGGGGGCUCAACCCUCGAAUGCCGGUGGAUACUGUCGGGCUAGAGUGCGGAAGAGGCGAGUGGAAUUCCUGGUGUAGCGGUGAAAUGCGCAGAUAUCAGGAGGAAUACCGAUGGCGAAGGCAGGUCUCUGGGCUGACACUGACGCUCAUGCACGAAAGCGUGGGGAGCAAACAGG
rnacentral:rRNA from 1 species